GACGAACGCUGGCGGCGUGCUUAACACAUGCAAGUCGAGCGGUAAGGCCCUUUCGGGGGUACACGAGCGGCGAACGGGUGAGUAACGCGUGGGUGACCUGCCCUCAGCUCUGGGAUAAGCCUGGGAAACUGGGUCUAAUACCGGAUAUGACUCCAUGACGCAUGUUGUGGGGUGGAAAGCCUUGUGCGGCUGAGGAUGGGCCCGCGGCCUAUCAGCUUGUUGGUGGGGUGANGGCCUACCAAGGCGACGACGGGUAGCCGGCCUGAGAGGGCGACCGGCCACACUGGGACUGAGACACGGCCCAGACUCCUACGGGAGGCAGCAGUGGGGAAUCUUGCGCAAUGGGCGAAAGCCUGACGCAGCGACGCCGCGUGAGGGAUGACGGCCU
rnacentral:rRNA from 1 species